rnacentral:pre_miRNA from 1 species
GAUUUCAACUGAAAAAGUCAUCAACAACAAAGUUGUAUAACUCAUCAAGAUCUACAACUUUUAUUUCAGUCAUUUCUUCAUCCGACAAAGUGAUAGUAACAUUGUUCACAAAAUUUACAUAUCUCUUAUUUGGUUUUAUAAACUAUAAGAGAUAAGAUAUGUAAAUUUUGUGAACAAUGUUAUAAUCACAUUGUUGGAUGAAGAAAUGAUCAAAAUAAAAGUUGUACAUCUUGAUGAGUUCUACAAUUUUUAUGUUUAUGAUUUUUUUCACCUGAAAUU